UUUGUAGUGCCUACAGUUCUUCCAUCCUUUUUUAUUUCUCUAUUUUAUUAUAAUGACUUUUAGCGCCUUUUUUUAAUUUAUCCGGUUGCUACUGUAGCGCUACCCAUUAGCAAAUUUUGACACUUUUUCACACACAGAGACAGGUCGGUUCUCCUUACCCCUACCCUACCCUCCAUAUACCAUAGAUUAUACACUUAAUAUAUUAGAGAUCCAUAUACCAAACGUAGAAACAAAUAAUUUGGUACAAAAUUUGCAAAUUUUGAUAAAAAUAAAAUUAUUUAAUAUUUAAUUACGUAUUUUUUUGUACGUUGUUUAUAUAUCACAAAACCACACAGUUGCCGAAUAAUUACAUUCACUAAUUUUCUAUUGUACCAAAUGUGAAAAGCUUAAAACUUUUUUUUUUAAUUUAGGUACGUUAAAUAAAACAAAUUUGUGUAUGUUUAACAAACUAUUGAAUAUCCGAAUAGGUAACUAAUAUGUAAUUUUAGUGAAAUCGUUCAAUAAUAAAUUAAAUAAACGUAUGCAAGGUCAGUUUAAUUUAAAAGGAUGUUAGGUACAAGGGCACUAUUCCUUCAGAUAGCUCUAAAACAUAGAAAAUUUACAAGAACGUGUGCAAACGGAAAAUCGGUUAACGACGAGGAAAAAGAGAGGGAACUCGAACGUUUAGCAAAAGAUGCGUCUAUUGAUGAACCUCCUACCUCAUGCUGUCAAUCUGGGUGCUCCAACUGUGUUUUUAUAGUAUGGGCCGAAGCUCUUGUCAACAAAAUGAACAACUCUGGACCAGAAGUCUGCGAGAAGAUCUUAAAGAUGGUAGAAGACCCAUCUAUGAAAGCUUACUUGGAGAUGGAGCUUCGCAUACGAGGGCUAACUAAAAGAUAGAAGAUAUUAUUAUUAAUUACUAAAAGCCCACUCCUGAGAACACAAUAUGGUAAUUGGAACAACUUAUUAAAGAAGUGUUUGUGUUGUGUGACUGUGGAAUUAAUAGAAGUUGUCUUCGAACACGACCGUUGGACCUCCCGAAAACGACCCCAGCGGGGUCAUGAUCCCUACCUCAACGAUGCCAAAGCUUCCUGAGGAAUCUAUUGAAAGAAAUCGAAUUUGGAGUGGUGUUCCAUCCUGGUUAACACUUAUAUCUGAACUACCUACCACCUAACUUCCCAACUUAAACUACACUAACAAUUCACCAGUAGUAUAGGUUGGAUUCAGUCUAAUUAUUACCACUGACAGUAUGAUAAAAUUUAAUAUUUGCACUUUCAAGUUAAUGAAGCCUGGUAACCUUCUGUAGGCAAAAGUAAAUCUGUAAGUUUGUAUGAUUUGUUUACUGUAAUAUCCAUACACUGUGUAAUCAUUAUUAUAAUAGUCAAAGUGAUUUAAUAUACUAGUAAGUCAUAUUGUAAGUUAAGUGUAAUUAAUUAAUAAAUCAAUUAGUUUUAUAAGAAACGGAUAUGUUUUUUUUUUUUCGAAUGUGUAUAAUGUGAUUUUAUAAUGAAAUAAAUUAUUUAAAAGUAAAAAAA